rnacentral:rRNA from 1 species
AUUGAACGCUGGCGGCAUGCCUUACACAUGCAAGUCGAACGGCAGCGGGGGAGAAGCUUGCUUUUCCUGCCGGCGAGUGGCGAACGGGUGAGUAAUACAUCGGAACGUGCCCUGUAGUGGGGGAUAACUAGUCGAAAGAUUAGCUAAUACCGCAUACGACCUGAGGGUGAAAGUGGGGGACCGCAAGGCCUCAUGCUAUAGGAGCGGCCGAUGUCUGAUUAGCUAGUUGGUGGGGUAAAGGCCUACCAAGGCGACGAUCAGUAGCUGGUCUGAGAGGACGAUCAGCAACACUGGGACGGAGACACGGCCCAGACUCCUACGGGAGGCAGCAGUGGGGAAUUUUGGACAAUGGGCGAAAGACUGAUCCAGCAAUGCCGCGUGUGUGAAGAAGGCCUUCGGGUUGUAAAGCACUUUUGUCCGGAAAGAAAUGGCUCUGGUUAAUACCUGGGGUCGAUGACGGUACCGGAAGAAUAAGGACCGGCUAACUACGUGCCAGCAGCCGCCGUAA